rnacentral:rRNA from 1 species
GCGGCGUGCCUGAUGCAUGCAAGUCNAACGGUCUGAUAGUUCGCAAGGAUUGUCAGAUAGUGGCGAACGGCUGAGUAACGCGUAAGUAACCUACCUCCGANUGGGGAAUAACUUGCCGAAAGGCAAGCUAAUACCGCAUGUGCUGAUAGGCUGAUGGGCUAUCAGCAAAGCCGCAAGGCGCUUAGAGAGGGGCUUGCGUCUGAUUAGCUAGUUGGCAGGGUAAUGGCCUACCAAGGCGAUGAUCAGUAGCUGGUCUGAGAGGAUAACCAGCCAGACGGGGACUGAGACACGGCCCUGACUCCUACGGGAGGCAGCAGCAAGGAAUUUUGCGCAAUGGGCGAAAGCCUGACGCAGCGACGCCGCGUGGGGGAUGAAGGCCCUCGGGUUGNAAACCCCUUUUCUCGAGGAAGAACUAUGACGGUACUCGGGGAAUAAGUCUUGGCUAACUACGUGCCAGCAGCCGCGGUAAUACGUAGAAGGCAAACGUUAUUCGGAUUUACNGGGCGUAAAGCCGGUGUAGACCGCCCCCUAAGUCGGGUGUGAAAUCUCCUGACUCAAUCAGGAGGGGUCAUUCCAUACUGGGGAGCUUGAGGGCAGCANAGGAAGGUGGAAUUCCCGGUGUAGCGGUGAUAUGCGUAGAUAUCGGGAAGGAACACCAGUGGCGAAGGCGGCCUUCUAGG